UGUUGAGGAGUCCCACAAUAGGACGAAACGGCCGUCCA
rfam:Schistosoma rodhaini strain Burundi genome assembly, scaffold: SROB_scaffold0002431